rnacentral:rRNA from 1 species
UUAGGAAUCUUGCGCAAUGGGCGAAAGCCUGACGCAGCGACGCCGCGUGGGGGAGGAAGGCCUUCGGGUUGUAAACCCCUUUUAUCCGGGAAGAAUACAAUUGACGGUACCGGGUGAAUAAGCCACGGCUAACUCCGUGCCAGCAGCCGCGGUAAUACGGAGGUGGCGAGCGUUGUCCGAAGUUACUGGGCGUAAAGCGCGCGUAGGCGGGCCCUUAAGUGAGGGGUGAAAGGCUGAGGCUCAACCUCAUGUUUGUCCUCUCAUACUGUGGGUCUUGAGUGAGGCAGGGAGAAGUGGAAUGGCUGGUGUAGCGGUGAAAUGCGUAGAUAUCAGUCGGAACACCGGUGGCGAAGGCGGCUUCUUGGGCCUUAACUGACGCUGAGGCGCGAAAGCUGGGGGAGCGAACGGG